CCUACGGGAGGCAGCAGUGGGGAAUAUUGCACAAUGGGGGAAACCCUGAUGCAGCGACGCCGCGUGAGUGAAGAAGUAUUUCGGUAUGUAAAGCUCUAUCAGCAGGGAAGAAAAUGACGGUACCUGAUUAAGAAGCCCCGGCUAACUACGUGCCAGCAGCCGCGGGAAUACGUAGGGGGCAAGCGUUAUCCGGAUUUACUGGGUGUAAAGGGAGCGUAGACGGCAGCACAAGUCUGGAGUGAAAUGCCGGGGCUUAACCCCGGAACUGCUGUGGAUACUGUGCAGCUAGAGUGCAGGAGAGGUAGGUGGAAUUCGUAGUGUAGCGGUGAAAUGCGUAGAUAUUAGGAGGAACACCAGUGGCGAAGGCGGCUUACUGGACUGUAACUGACGUUGAGGCUCGAAAGCGUGGGGAGCAAACAGGAUUAGAUACCCCAGUAGUC
rnacentral:rRNA from 1 species